rnacentral:rRNA from 1 species
GGCUCAGAUUGAACGCUGGCGGCAGGCCUUACACAUGCAAGUCGAGCGGAUGAAGAGAGCUUGCUCUCUGAUUCAGCGGCGGACGGGUGAGUAAUGCCUAGGAAUCUGCCUAUUAGUGGGGGACAACGUUUCGAAAGGAACGCUAAUACCGCAUACGUCCUACGGGAGAAAGCAGGGGACCUUCGGGCCUUGCGCUAAUAGAUGAGCCUAGGUCGGAUUAGCUAGUUGGUGAGGUAAAGGCUCACCAAGGCGACGAUCCGUAACUGGUCUGAGAGGAUGAUCAGUCACACUGGAACUGAGACACGGUCCAGACUCCUACGGGAGGCAGCAGUGGGGAAUAUUGGACAAUGGGCGAAAGCCUGAUCCAGCCAUGCCGCGUGUGUGAAGAAGGUCUUCGGAUUGUAAAGCACUUUAAGUUGGGAGGAAGGGCAGUAAGUUAAUACCUUGCUGUUUGACGU